CAGUAGCCGCGGUAAUACGAAGGGGGCUAGCGUUGCUCGGAAUUACUGGGCGUAAAGGGCGCGUAGGCGGACAGUUCAGUCGGGGGUGAAAGCCCGGGGCUCAACCUCGGAAUUGCCUUCGAUACUGGCUGUCUUGAGUAUGAGAGAGGUGUGUGGAACUCCGAGUGUAGAGGUGAAAUUCGUAGAUAUUCGGAAGAACACCAGUGGCGAAGGCGACACACUGGCUCAUUACUGACGCUGAGGCGCGAAAGCGUGGGGAGCAAACAGGAUUAGAUACCCGAGUAGUCCCUGUCUCUUAUAC
rnacentral:rRNA from 1 species